CCUAUUUGUUAGAAGCAAGUCAAUAAUCCUAGACCCGACUGAAGGGGAGGACAUUGCAAAAGAGCAGGAAUACCAGGAGAAAAUUGACAAAAGAUUUUCACCACUAUUUUUCAGAGGAAACGAAAUCCUCCAUGGGGCUUGCCUGUGAAAUUGAGCCAUGCAUCAUGACGUACUGUUCCAGCCAGGCCAGUCCCUGCUCAGGCACCACAGAACAGACUCCCACUGCACCUUCAAACUGCAUGACAAAUAAAGAAUCGCCCUGUCAGAAUUCCACCCUGGCUCACCCAAAUUGACAAAAAUUUUCUGAAUUACACUGUUUCAGGGCUCCCGCAUUGACAAGAGGCAGUCAAGCCUGACAGCCCUUUCCCUCUUGUCUGUUAUCUUGAAAUCAAUUGCACAGCCUGAUGCACAGAAUAAUGGCUGUGGACUAUUCUGCAGGACUUGGCCCAUCUGGUCACUAAGGAAGACAGCAUUGCUGGCUUCCUAUCGAUCUGGGAGGAGCAUGCUGCUACACAGAGGUGACCUCCAUCUCUCCACCUGGCCCUGCUAUUGAGGAAAUCAGUUUCACAAGUGAGCUCAUUCAGAAAUGAAAACAACUUUGCACCACAGCGUAUCCAUCUUUGUCUUUAAUUAAGAGCUCUUGCCUCUUUGGGAUUAAAUAGUGAGUUGUAAGCAAAUGAAAGGGCAUGAUUCUCUGCAUCGGGCACCAUAUUUUGUGUUAAGUCCCUUUAGUUAAAGUCUUGAACAGAUCAGACAUUUCAGUAGAGGGAAAUAUUAAUUUGGCUAUUUUAUGAAACUCCCUACACUUCAUCUUUGAAGAAAAUUCU
rnacentral:lncRNA from 1 species